UCCCUGGUGGCUCAGACGGUAAAGCGUCUGCCUACAAUGUGGAAGACCUGGGUUCAAUCCCUGGGUUGGGAA
rnacentral:tRNA from 1 species